GUCUGCGGCCAUGCCACCCUCAAUGAGCCCCAUCCCGUCUGAUCUCGGGAGCUAAGCAGGGUCGGGCCUGGUUAAUACUUGGAUGGGAGACCACCUAGGCAGACCAGGUGCCAUAGGCG
rfam:Pteropus alecto contig27092, whole genome shotgun sequence.